UCGUGCAAUUGUCCUCAUACAUCCGAUGCUUCUUCGUCCAGUUGUCGUAAUCCACGCGGAAUUCCAUGCUGAACUGUUUGGUCUUGGCCGCUUUGAGAUCCGCAUCGGUCUCGGUGCUGAUUUUCAGGUUCGGCUUAUCCGCAUUCUUGUCCAUCGCUUUGAGAUACUCUAGGGCAUCCCCGAUAUCGGAAUAUAUAUAGAUUAAACGUGAAAGUUAGGUGAAUGAGGUGGAAUACUCAUCCAUAGAGAGUGAUAGGCUCGUAACCGAAAACUUAAACAAUCUAAUUGUAUCCCAAGUAGCAUGGGGCACGUGAAAUCCCGUGUGAAUCUGCGAGGACCACCUCGUAAGGCUAAAUAUUCCUGAAUGACCGAUAGUGAAACAGUACCGUGAGGGAAAGGUGAAAAGAACCCCGGGAGGGGAGUGAAAAGAACAUGAAACCAUAAACUUACAAGCAGUAGAAGGACGACUAAAACGUCUGCCUGCGUGCCUGUUGAAGAAUGAGCCGGCGACUCAUAGGUAGUGGCAGGUUAAGGCAGUGAAUGCUGGAGCCACAGUGAAAGCGAGCCUGAAUAGGGCGUUUGUCACUAGUUAUGGACCCGAACCCGGGUGAUCUAACCAUGGUCAGGUUGAAGCUUAGGUAAUACUAAGUGGAGGACCGAACCGACUGAUGUUGAAAAAUCAGCGGAUGAGUUGUGGUUAGGGGUGAAAUGCCAAUCGAAUUCGGAGCUAGCUGGUUCUCCCCGAAAUGCGUUUUGGCGCAGCGGUAAAUGUUAUAAUCUAGGGGUAAAGCACUGUUACGUAUGCGGGCUGGUAAUUCGGUACCAAAUCGUUGCAAACUAAGAAUACUAAAUGUAUAGUCUACCAGUAAGACUGUGGGGGAUAAGCUCCAUUGUCAAGAGGGAAACAGCCCAGAGCACCAGUUAAGGCCCUUAAAUAUUUACUAAGUGAUAAAGGAGGUGGGAGUGCAUAGACAAUCAGGAGGUUUGCCCAGAAGCAGCAAUCCUUUAAAGAGUGCGUAAUAGCUCACUGAUCGAGUAAACCUGCGCCGAAAAUGAAUGGGACUAAGUAAUUUGCCGAAACUGUGCGAUAUAUAUUUAUAUAUCGGUAGGGGAGCGUUCUGUUGUAGGUCGAAGUAUUAGCGUAAGCGGAUAUGGACGAAGCAGAAGUGAGAAUGUCGGCUUGAGUAACGAAAAUAUAGGUGAGAAUCCUAUACCCCGAAAACCCAAGGUUUCCUCCGGAAGGCUCGUCCGCGGAGGGUAAGUCAGGACCUAAGGCGAGGCUGAAAAGCGUAGUCGAUGGACAACGGGUUAAUAUUCCCGUACCAUUUUUUAUUGAUAUCGAGGGACGGAGAAGGCUAAGCUAGCCGGAUAUUGGUUACCGGUUUAAACGUUCAAGAUGUUGAGAGGUGGAGAAAACACCUUGAGUUGAGGCGUGAAUACGAGAUGCUAAGGCGUCGAAGUAGUGUAUGUCAGACUUCCAAGAAAAGCUUGCACUGUCAUAAAUAAAAAAUGCCUGUACCAUAACCGACACAGGUGGGUAGGUAGAGUAUACUAAGGGGCGCGAGAUAACUCUCUCUAAGGAACUCGGCAAAAUAACUCCGUAACUUCGGAAGAAGGAGUGCCUUAUGCAAAUAAGGUUGCAAUAACAAGAUCCAAGCAACUGUUUAUCAAAAACACAGGUCUCCGCUAAGUCGUAAGACGAUGUAUGGGGGCUGACGCCUGCCCAGUGCCAGAAGGUUAAAGAAGUUGGUUAGCAUAAGCGAAGCUGAUAACUGAAGCCCUGGUGAACGGCGGCCGUAACUAUAACGGUCCUAAGGUAGCGAAAUUCCUUGUCGGG
rnacentral:rRNA from 1 species